AUUGAACGCUGGCGGCAGGCCUAACACAUGCAAGUCGAGCGGAUGAAGGGAGCUUGCUUCUGGAUUCAGCGGCGGACGGGUGAGUAAUGCCUAGGAAUCUGCCUGGUAGUGGGGGAUAACGUCCGGAAACGGGCGCUAAUACCGCAUACGUCCUGAGGGAGAAAGGGGGGGAUCUUCGGACCUCACGCUAUCAGAUGAGCCUAGGUCGGAUUGGCUAGUUGGUGGGGUAAAGGCCUACCAAGGCGACGAUCCGUAACUGGUCUGAGAGGAUGAUCAGUCACACUGGAACUGAGACACGGUCCAGACUCCUACGGGAGGCAGCAGUGGGGAAUAUUGGACAAUGGGCGAAAGCCUGAUCCAGCCAUGCCGCGUGUGUGAAGAAGGUCUUCGGAUUGUAAAGCACUUUAAGUUGGGAGGAAGGGCAGUAAGUUAAUACCUUGCUGUUUUGACGUUACCAACAGAAUAAGCACCGGCUAACUUCGUG
rnacentral:rRNA from 1 species